rnacentral:misc_RNA from 1 species
UGAAGGAAAUUGCUGCUGAACUUUGG